CUGGAGUCAAAAUCUAUGAAAAUAAUAGAGGUGUUGUCCUUUGUGCGCUGAGUUCUAGCCUCAUUCAACAUGACUUCAGCAAUCUUCUCUGCCAAAUUCUCCGUUUCUGUCGAAUGUCUCUCCCUCGCCUACACAGUCAAUUAUAAGAUCAGUUUUGAGUUGUUUCAGUCUCAGGUCAUUCAGAUUUGCCUAUUGAUUUUCCAGAGCUAGUAAUUUCAGGUUUUGGCACUCAAGAUUGGGUAUUUCGGGUAUGAAUCAUUCCGACUUCAGAUUAUUUCAGAUUCAAGUAAUCUUUGGUUUGAAUCUUUUCUGGAUUCAGGUUGGGCAGGUUCAAGUUGCUGACUUUGUACGGUUAAAUCGGGUAGGAAGAUUCGGGUUAAUCAAGUUGGGACCACAAGUCUAGAAACUGUAUAUUGUAUCUAAUGUUACAAUAAUAACAAUAAUACCUGUACAACUAACUGAAUUGCCUUCUUAAAGCUAACAACAUCCCACAAUCCA